AGAGUUUGAUCCUGGCGCAGAUUGAACGCUAGCGGCAAGCUUAAUACAUGCAAGUCGAACGGCAGCACGAUGUAGCAAUACAUGGGUGGCGAGUGGCGAACGGGUGAGUAAUACGUAGGAACUUACCCUAGAGUGGGGGAUAAGCUCUCGAAAGGGAGUCUAAUACCGCAUACGAUCGAGAGAUCAAAGCAGCAAUGCGCUCUAGGAGAGGCCUAUGUCUGAUUGGCUAGUUGGUGGGGUAAAGGCCCACCAAGGCGACGAUCAGUAGCUGUUCUGAGAGGAAGAUCAGCCACACUGGGACUGAGACACGGCCCAGACUCCUACGGGAGGCAGCAGUAGGGAAUCUUGGACAAUGGGGGCAACCCUGAUCCAGCUAUGCCGCGUGUGUGAUGAAGGCCUUCGGGUUGUAAAGCACUGUUGAUUGGGAAGAAAAAAAUGACGGUACCAAUUGAGGAAGCACCGGCUAACUCUGUGCCAGCAGCCGCGGUAAUACAGAGGGUGCAAGCGUUAAUCGGAUUUACUGGGCGUAAAGCGUGCGCAGGCGGUUUGAUAAGUUGGAUGUGAAAGACUCGGGCUCAACCCGAGAAUGGCAUUCAAAACUGUUGAACUAGAGUAUGGGAGAGGAAAGUAGAAUUUCUGGUGUAGCAGUGAAAUGCGUAGAUAUCAGAAGGAAUGACAGUGGCGAAGGCGACUUUCUGGCCCAAUACUGACGCUCAAGCACGAAAGCUUGGGGAGCAGACGGGAUUAGAUACCCCGGUAGUCCAAGCAGUAAACGAUGAGAACUGAGUGUUUGGGAGCCUAGCUCCUGAGUGCUUCAGCUAACGCGUUAAGUUCUCCGCCUGGGGAGUACGGCCGCAAGGCUAAAACUCAAAGGAAUUGACGGGGGCCCGCACAAGCGGUGGAGCAUGUGGUUUAAUUCGAUGCUACGCGAAGAACCUUACCCGGUCUUGACAUCCCGAUUAAGUUCCAGAAAUGGGACGUGCCGCAAGGCGUUCGGAGACAGGUGCUGCAUGGCUGUCGUCAGCUCGUGUUGUGAGAUGUUGGGUUAAGUCCCGUAACGAGCGCAACCCUUGUCCUUAGUUGCCAUCAUUCAGUUGGGCUACUUUAAGGAGACUGCCGGCGAUAAGUCGGAGGAAGGUGGGGAUGACGUCAAGUCCUCAUGGCCCUUAUGACCGGGGCUACACACGUGCUACAAUGGGUGUUACAGAGGGAAGCCAACCCGCAAGGGGGAGCCUAUCCUUUAAAAGCACUCUCAGUCCGGACCGGAGUCUGCAACUCGACUCCGUGAAGUUGGAAUCGCUAGUAAUCGCGGAUCAGCACUGCCGCGGUGAAUCCGUUCCCGGGCCUUGUACACACCGCCCGUCACACCAUGGGAGCGGGUUAUACCAGAAGUUAGUGAGCCAACCGCAAGGGGGCAGCUACCUACGGUAUGAUUCGUGGCUGGGGUGAAGUCGUAACAAGGUAACC
rnacentral:rRNA from 1 species